GACGAACCGUGCAAACGUUGUUCGGAAUCACUGGGCUUAAAGGGCGCGUAGGCGGGCAAGCAAGUCAGGGGUGAAAGCCCACGGCUCAACCGUGGAAGUGCCUUUGAUACUGUUUGUCUCGAGGGAGGUAGGGGCGUGCGGAACUUCCGGUGGAGCGGUGAAAUGCGUAGAUAUCGGAAGGAACACCGGUGGCGAAAGCGGCGCGCUGGACCUCUACUGACGCUGAGGCGCGAAAGCCAGGGGAGCAAACGGGAUUAGAUACCCCGGUAGUCCUGGCCCUAAACGUUGGGUACUAGGUAGUGGACUUACAUGGGUUCACUGCCGAAGCAAAAGUUUUAAGUACCCCGCCUGGGGAGUAUGGUCGCAAGGCUGAA
rnacentral:rRNA from 1 species